rnacentral:rRNA from 1 species
ACGAAGGGGGCUAGCGUUGCUCGGAAUGACUGGGCGUAAAGGGCGCGUAGGCGGAUUGUACAGUCAGAUGUGAAAUUCCUGGGCUCAACCUGGGGGCUGCAUUUGAUACGUGCGAUCUUGAGUCCGGAAGAGGGUGGUGGAAUUCCCAGUGUAGAGGUGAAAUUCGUAGAUAUUGGGAAGAACACCGGUGGCGAAGGCGGCCACCUGGUCCGGUACUGACGCUGAGGCGCGAAAGCGUGGGGAGCAAACAGGAUUAGAUACCCUGGUAGUCCACGCUGUAAACGAUGUGUGCUGGAUGUUGGGCGACCUAGUCGUUCAGUGUCGAAGCUAACGCGCUAAGCACACCGCCUGGGGAGUACGGCCGCAAGGUUG